rfam:Leptospirillum ferrodiazotrophum TBAL3_7980_1, whole genome shotgun sequence.
GGGGAUGUAGCUCAGCUGGGAGAGCGCCUGCCUUGCACGCAGGAGGUCGGCGGUUCGAGCCCGCUCAUCUCCA